UACCAAGUUACAAGAUAGACACUUUUAUUUCACGUCCAUAUACCAAGUUACAAGAUAGACACUUUUAUUUCACAUCCAUAUAUCAAGUUACAAGAUAGACACUUUUAUUUCACGUCUAUAUACCAAGUUACAAGAUAGACACUUUUAUUUCACGUCCAUAUACCAAGUUACAAGAUAGACACUUUUAUUUCACGUCCAUAUACCAAGUUACAAGAUAGACACUUUUAUUUCAUGUCCAUAUACCAAGUUACAAGAUAGACACUUUUAUUUCACGUCCAUAUACCCAAGUUACUAGAUAGACACUUUUAUUUCACAUGCAUAUGCCAAGUUACAAGAUGGACACUUUUAUUUCACAUCCAUAUGCCAAGUUACAAGAUAGACACUUUUAUUUCACAUCCAUAUACCAAGUUACAAGAUAGACACUUUUAUUUCACAUCCAUAUACCAAGUUACAAGAUGGACACUUUUAUUUCACAUCCAUAUACCAAGUUACAAGAUAGACACUUUUAUUUCACAUCCAUAUACCAAGUUACAAGAUAGACACUUUUAUUUCACGUCCAUAUACCAAGUUACAAGAUAGACACUUUUAUUUCACAUCCAUAUACCAAGUUACAAGAAGGACACUUUUAUUUCACAUCCAUAUACCAAGUUACAAGAUAGACACUUUUAUUUCACGUCCAUAUACCAAGUUAUAAGAUAGACACUUUUAUUUCACAUCCAUAUAUCAAGUUACAAGAUGGACACUUUUAUUUCACAUCCAUGUACCAAGUUACAAGAUGGACACUUUUAUUUCACAUCCAUAUAUCAAGUUACAAGAUGGACACUUUUAUUUCACGUCCAUAUACCAAGUUACAAGAUAGACACUUUUAUUUCACAUCUAUAUACCAAGUUACAAGAUAGACACUUUUAUUUCAUGUCCACAUACCAAGUUACAAGAUAGAUACUUUUAUUUCAUGUCCACAUACCACGUUACAAGAUAGACACUUUUAUUUCACGUCCAUAUACCAAGUUACAAGAUAGACACUUUUAUUUCACGUCCAUAUACCAAGUUACAAGAUAGACACUUUUAUUUCACAUCCAUAUACCAAGUUACAAGAUAGACACUUUUAUUUCACAUCCAUAUACCAAGUUACAAGAUAGACACUUUUAUUUCAUGUCCAUAUACCAAGUUAUAAGAUAGACACUUUUAUUUCACAUCCAUAUACCAAGUUACAAGAUGGACACUUUUAUUUCACAUCCAUAUACCAAGUUACAAGAUAGACACUUUUAUUUCACAUCCAUAUACCAAGUUACAAGAUAGACACUUUUAUUUCACAUCCAUAUACCAAGUUACAAGAUGGACACUUUUAUUUCACAUCCAUAUACCAAGUUAUAAGAUGGACACUUUUAUUUCAUAUCCAUAUACCAAGUUACAAGAUGGAGACUUUUAUUUCACAUCCACAUACCAAGUUACAAGAUAGACACUUUUAUUUCAUGUCCACAUACCAAGUUACAAGAUAGAGACUUUUAUUUCACGUCCAUGUACCAAGUUAUAAGAUAGACACUUUUA
rnacentral:lncRNA from 1 species